rnacentral:tRNA from 5 species
GCCGAUGUGGUGGAACUGGUAGACACGUGCGCUUGAGGGGCGUAUGGAGCAAUCCGUGGGAGUUCGACUCUCCCCAUCGGCACCA